UACGUAGGGGGCGAGCGUUGUCCGGAUUUAUUGGGCGUAAAGAGCUCGUAGGCGGCUUGUCGCGUCGUCUGUGAAAUCCCGCGGCUCAACCGCGGGUCUGCAGUCGAUACGGGCAGGCUAGAGUUCGGUAGGGGAGACUGGAAUUCCUGGUGUAGCGGUGAAAUGCGCAGAUAUCAGGAGGAACACCGGUGGCGAAGGCGGGUCUCUGGGCCGAUACUGACGCUGAGGAGCGAAAGCGUGGGGAGCGAACAGG
rnacentral:rRNA from 1 species